GCUGUAGUAAGCUAUUGUGAACGGUCUUUUUCAAAUUUUCGUGUAUUUUAUAUGCACGAAAUGUAUCUCUCUAUAUACUGAUCCAUGCUGAAUGCUUGAACUGCUGAUGUGGCCUUGGGAUGGAAACUUUUCUCUGACCCUGGAAGAUCUUGGUUAUGCAAAAGAGGACAACGGAAGGAUUGCAGCUUUAUCUCUUCCUCUCUGGCAGUACACUGGGUAGCUGUUAGCACUGUUCUGUGGUGCUUCCUUCCAGGCAUACUGCAGGGCGUGGGAUCUUUGUGGAUGUGCCCAGUCGCUGGAGUAUUUUGCUUAAUGCUGUUUUGUAGUGUGAUCAUCUUCCGUCUUGAUGGCAGCAUUACAAACCAUGACUGUAGCUUCUGUGCCUCUCGGUCUGACAGCAAUGCAAGCUUUCUCCGAGCUGCCAGAGCUGGCAAUUUGGACAAAGUAGUGGAAUACCUGAAAAGUGGAAUAGACAUUAAUACAUGUAAUCAGGUAAGAUAAUUGAAGGGCAAAACUACAAGAGCAAAAUGUAAGUCAUACCCUCUUCACCGAACUAGAAUUUUCAGGUUAGAU
rnacentral:lncRNA from 1 species